rnacentral:rRNA from 1 species
GACGAACGCUGGCGGUGUGCUUAACACAUGCAAGUCGAACGGUAAGGCCCUUUCGGGGGUACACGAGUGGCGCACGGGUGAGUAACACGUGAGUAACCUGCCCUCAUCUCUGGGAUAACAGUCGGAAACGGUUGCUAAUACUGGAUAUGAGCUUGCAAGGCAUCUUGUGGGUUGGAAAGAUUUUUUUUGGUUGGGGAUGGACUCGCGGCCUAUCAGCUUGUUGGUGAGGUAGUGGCUCACCAAGGCUUCGACGGGUAGCCGGCCUGAGAGGGCGACCGGCCACAUUGGGACUGAGAUACGGCCCAAACUCCUACGGGAGGCAGCAGUGGGGAAUAUUGCACAAUGGACGGAAGUCUGAGGCAGCAACGCCGCGUGCGGGAUGACGGCCUUCGGGUUGUAAACCGCUUUCAAUUGUGACGAAGCUUUUUUGUGACGGUAGCAGUAGAAGAAGCACCGGCUAACUACGUG